rnacentral:Y_RNA from 1 species
GACUAGUCCAAGUGCCGUCAUGUUUACAACUGAUUGAUCACAAGCAAUCGCAAAUUUCUUUGUUCCUUCUCCACUCACACUGCUUCAUUAGACUAGCCUUAA